rnacentral:misc_RNA from 1 species
AGAAGUCGGUGUCCUAACCGCAAGGAGGGAGCUGCCAAAGGCAGGGUUGAUGAUUGGGGUUAAGUCGUAACAAGGUAUCCCUACCGGAAGGUGGGGAUGGAUCACCUCCUUUCUAUGGAGUUUAGUUUCUAAUAAGAAACCAAGACAACAAGAAAAAAUAGAUGGAUGAUUUAUUGGAUUACUUCUUUUGUUCUGUUUAGUUUUCAGGGAUUGUUUUCUCUGAGCAAUUGUUCUUUAAAAACUGGAUAAUAGACAUCUUUUAAAAAAAUAAGAUAAUUUUUAUCUUGCAAUAGGAUAUUCUAAAAAUAAAUUAUUAAGAG